rnacentral:rRNA from 1 species
GAGUUUGAUUCAUGGCUCAGGACGAACGCUGGCGGCGUGCCUAAUACAUGCAAGUAGAACGCUGAAGAGAGGAGCUUGCUCUUCUUGGAUGAGUUGCGAACGGGUGAGUAACGCGUAGGUAACCUGCCUUGUAGCGGGGGAUAACUAUUGGAAACGAUAGCUAAUACCGCAUAACAAUAGGUGACACAUGUCAUUUAUUUGAAAGGGGCAAUUGCUCCACUACAAGAUGGACCUGCGUUGUAUUAGCUAGUAGGUGAGGUAACGGCUCACCUAGGCGACGAUACAUAGCCGACCUGAGAGGGUGAUCGGCCACACUGGGACUGAGACACGGCCCAGACUCCUACGGGAGGCAGCAGUAGGGAAUCUUCGGCAAUGGGGGCAACCCUGACCGAGCAACGCCGCGUGAGUGAAGAAGGUUUUCGGAUCGUAAAGCUCUGUUGUAAGUCAAGAACGAGUGUGAGAGUGGAAAGUUCACACUGUGACGGUAGCUUACCAGAAAGGGACGGCUAACUACGUGCCAGCAGCCGCGGUAAUACGUAGGUCCCGAGCGUUGUCCGGAUUUAUUGGGCGUAAAGCGAGCGCAGGCGGUUUGAUAAGUCUGAAGUUAAAGGCUGUGGCUCAACCAUAGUUCGCUUUGGAAACUGUCAAACUUGAGUGCAGAAGGGGAGAGUGGAAUUCCAUGUGUAGCGGUGAAAUGCGUAGAUAUAUGGAGGAACACCGGUGGCGAAAGCGGCUCUCUGGUCUGUAACUGACGCUGAGGCUCGAAAGCGUGGGGAGCGAACAGGAUUAGAUACCCUGGUAGUCCACGCCGUAAACGAUGAGUGCUAGGUGUUGGAUCCUUUCCGGGAUUCAGUGCCGCAGCUAACGCAUUAAGCACUCCGCCUGGGGAGUACGACCGCAAGGUUGAAACUCAAAGGAAUUGACGGGGGCCCGCACAAGCGGUGGAGCAUGUGGUUUAAUUCGAAGCAACGCGAAGAACCUUACCAGGUCUUGACAUCCCGAUGCUAUUUCUAGAGAUAGAAAGUUACUUCGGUACAUCGGUGACAGGUGGUGCAUGGUUGUCGUCAGCUCGUGUCGUGAGAUGUUGGGUUAAGUCCCGCAACGAGCGCAACCCCUAUUGUUAGUUGCCAUCAUUCAGUUGGGCACUCUAGCGAGACUGCCGGUAAUAAACCGGAGGAAGGUGGGGAUGACGUCAAAUCAUCAUGCCCCUUAUGACCUGGGCUACACACGUGCUACAAUGGUUGGUACAACGAGUUGCGAGUCGGUGACGGCAAGCUAAUCUCUUAAAGCCAAUCUCAGUUCGGAUUGUAGGCUGCAACUCGCCUACAUGAAGUCGGAAUCGCUAGUAAUCGCGGAUCAGCACGCCGCGGUGAAUACGUUCCCGGGCCUUGUACACACCGCCCGUC